ensembl:lncRNA
CCUUGGGUAAUUCGUGGGUGAUUGUCUAUGUCUAGUUGCCUGUGUCUGCACUUGUUUAUAUAUAGAGGACCGUUCGUGGUUGUUGUUUUGUAUAGUUUGUUUAGUGUUUCUUCAUUAAUAAAUAGAAUAAUUUAUUCACAUCACGCUGAGCCUUGGUCUCCUCCAUUCAACGGACGAGACAGAAUCGCCCACCAAACAAGGACCAAGCAGCGUGAUAAAGAGGAACAGCGAUUAAUGGGGAAAUGGACCUGGGAGGAAAUACUGGAUGGAGCAGGACCCUGGGCACAGCCGGGGGAGUAUCGCCAUCCAAAAGGAGGAGUUAGAGGCAGCGAAAGCUGAGCAGCGAUACUACGAGGAGAAGUACUGAGGGGAAAGGACUCUGCAAUGGAAGCAGGUGGAGAAAGCACAGCAGGAACGGCGACAUUAUGAGGGUACACGGCUAGCAUGGAAGCCCGAGAGGCAGCCCGAAGAUUUUUUUUGGGGGGGGGGGGACACACGAGGAGAUUGGCUGAGUCAGGUAGGAGACCUAAGCCAACUCCUUGUGCUUACCGUGGGGAGCGUGUAACUGGUCAGGCACCAUGUUAUGCAAAGAUGCACACGGUGUCUCCAGUGCGCUAUUCUAGCCCGGUGCGCUCUAUUCCAGCUCCUCGCAUCUGCGAGGUGCCGGCACCACGCACCAGGCCAGUGAAAAUUGUCCAACCUAUGUGAAGCGUUAACAAGGAGAGACAUGUUCAAUACUUUCGGAUGUCGGAUGCCAGAUAUGACGACUUGCUUCAGCAGCUUUCCCCUAACAUCUCGCACGAGAGAACUCACAGCUUGCCCAUAAGUGCUGCAGAAAGUCUGUGUGAUCCUUCGGUCUUUGGCGAGUGGCUGCACACAGCCAAGUCUUGCUGCGAGUUAUCAUUUAUAUGCUAGGAAUCUCAACAGUAUGCGCAAUCGUCAUGGAAGUGUGCCAAGCCACCUGGCAUGUCCUGAAGGAGGGUUUUGUUGCUUAUCCCUCCGUGGCAAAAUGGGCAGAAAUCGCCAGAGAUUUUGGGGAUCGUUGGAAUUAUCCAUUCAGAUCAGAGAUUCGGCAGACGAAUACUACACCUACAAGGGCUUUUUCUCAAAUGGUCCUGAUGGCAGUCUGCGAUGCAAGAUCUACAACUGUCGCCACUCAAGAGCCAGAAGAAUGUAAGAGAACUGCUUUGGGAUCCUUGCUGCAAGAUGGAGGAUCCUGGGACGAGCCCCUGAGGUUGCCCCAGAGAAAGCCGAGACCAUUGUGCAUGCCUAUGCGGCCUUCCACAACUACCUUUGCACCACAGACAUUAACAAUACAGAUUCAUCAACACGGUACAUCCACCCCACGUUUAUUGACCACUCCACACCCACCUGCUUUCAGGAGAGUGGAGACAGGUGGUAAAGGGGACACGAGCAUUCUGGACCCAAGAAACAUGUCGUCAGAGUUGCCAUAGACGUGCACAACAACCUCAAGGACUACUUCCUCACACCAGCAGGUCAAGUGGCUUUCCAGAGUGCUGCUAUCACGCGUGGCACCCUACUGUAAAUGUUGGAGUGUGGUUUGGAAAAUAUGUGCACAAAUACGUUCUCUUCUCCUGGUGGAUGACUGUUUGUGUCAUGUUGUGAGCUACACACUUGGUUUUGCUCUUCUUAUUAUUCACAUUUUACAAAUCACAAUAAAGAGUACUAUAAUGACAAUUACUUCAUCCUUCGUUUUUCAUAUUUUUCAAGAGGCUAGACCCUCAAGACAUUUAACUAACCUUGUGUUGUGUAGUGGACUUUCAAUGAGAACUUUCUUGCUAUAGCAAAAAGAAAAGUAUCUGUCCAGCUGUAGACAAUAAGGCUAGAACCUCAAGACAUUAACCUCAUCUACAAUGAGGUAGAAUGAUCUUCAAUCAUGUACAAAGCAUUAGAAGUUUACUGAGUGACUGAUUUAAAACAGUAAUAUUUUCUGCCACAAGUGCAAUGUAAAACAAUGUAGUACACAGGUGAAAAGUGUGAUGAAAGGGGAAAUACGAGAAGAAAACUGAGUAAACAUCAGUAACAUGACAAUGAGGAAAUAAGUAUAAAAAAACAUGCACAAAAAAAACAACAGUAAUUUACCACCCUAAUAUUUAAAAAUAAAAACGUUUUUAAAGCACACAAGAGUUUUUGGGGUGAGAUAAACGGGAGACGUUAAUCAGCAGGAAUAGACCCCAUCCAUGGUAUCAUGACAUUAUAGACGGCCUUUGCUGGGACACUGAUGCUGUUUCUGUAACUCCUGCUGCCCUUUCUUUAUUAAGUCAUCCACCCGCUGUGUAAUGUCAGUGUCCAAAGGAUUCUUAGCUGUCUUCCUCUUCCAGCUAUUGGAGCUGGGUCGGGGAGAUGGGUUGGAUGUUGAUGGAGAUGCAGGGCAGAGAGACAGUGGGUUGGGUGUCGGUGAGAGUGGCCGGGGAUGGGGCCUCAGGGCUCAGCUCAAUCUCUGGACUGUUCAACUCUUCCCCCCUACAAGCAGAUGGCAAAUACAUUAGAAUACAAUGCAAGCAAUCUAUAAAUAUCUCCAUGGGCUCCUUUGAGUUAAAACGUUUACCCAAAAUAACUGAUUUCAUAAACUUCUCAAUCUAAUUAACACACACACACACACACCGCACACUGUCUGUUUUCUGAUGUUUGAACUAGCCCUGCUAUCAUUAUGUUAACCCAGGCACUGAAUAUUUCCCACUCACAAAUUCUCCUAUCCAGAAAACAGCUGACUUCAAUUGAUCUAACUAGGUCUGCUAAACAUAAGGCCACAAACACACUAGCUGUACAAAAGGACUCCGCUGCAUGUCGGUGUCUGCUGACAAUGUUUUACAUGAACACGAAGCCAAUCGGUGAGACACACACCAGUGGCAGCUCCACACCUCUUCUGCUUCACCCUUUUCAGAUUGUGAACAUACCUGUCCAAAAUCUUUCUCCAUGUUUCUUUGAUAUCAGUAUCGGUGUUCAAAUUCCGUGAUAUCUCCCUCCAGCUGUUGACAUUUGCUUGAUUGUCCAAAUACAACCGCAUCGAAGGGUUGUAAAGGUUCUCGAAUUGUCUCACCAGCUCGCACAGACACUCCUCCAAACUGGACAUAGACAUAAUUGUGUUUAGCAAAUCUCAUAAUAAAAAGUGGAAAAAGGGCAGCUUGCAAGUAGUUAGAGGGGAAGUAGCUGAACGUCCAUCCCUUCAGUGUUUAUACCAGAAGGGAUGCCGGAAAAU